CUCACUUCUUCCAUGGUGACAGUCUCCAAAGGAGCCUAGCCGGGACAAAUGGCUUCCUCCAGGACAUCCAGAUGUGAUGUGCAGAUAUGCCUCCUCCCGCUCCCCAUUCUGGAGGGAUUCCUAACUUCCAGGAAAGUGUGCAUCCUUCAUAGGGACCAACCGCCUUACCCUUCUAUCGGCCAGGCCUGCUUCAUGACAGGGCCGCUGGACCUGGGCACCCCAGCAGCUGCAGCGGGGAAUGGGUCUGGUGUGUCAGGAGGGCUUUGUGUGUGGGGCUGUGUCACUGUGUGCUGUGCUCGGAGCCGGCACCCAGCUGACCAUCCUUGGUCAGCCCAAGGCCCCCCCGCCCCGGGUCACUCUGUUCUCACCCUCCUCUGAGGAGCUCCAAGCCAACAAGGCCACAUUAGUGUGCCUCAUAAGUGACUUCUACCCAGGAACCAUGACAGUGGACUGGAAGGCAGAUGGCAACCCCGUCACCAAGGACGUGGAGACCACCAAACCCUCCAAACACAGCAGGAACAACUGGGCGGACAGCAGCUACCUGAGCCUGAACCCCAAGCAGUGGAGGUCCAGCAGCAGCUACAGCUGCCACGUCAGGCAGGAGGGGAGCAUCAUGGAGAAGGCAGUGGCCACUGCAGGAUGUCCUUAGGACCCCAACCCUGAUCCCAGGACAGAUUCCCUCCCACCCCAAGUCAUCCAGCCCUUCUGCCUACACCCAAUAAACUCGCAAUAAAUAUCCUCCUUGUCAAUC